UGUUCUUCAUAAAAGUCUAGUCCUUAUGAAUAAUAUGAAAGAGUUUUAUGUAGAAUGUUGAUUAACCAACUAUCCAGUUCCAUGUUCUAGGAUUUGAAUGCCUUUGAUAAGAUCUUGACCAACCCCACGAUAAAUGAGAUAAUUUAGGGCCUUUACUACCAUUUAAAAAAAUACUUUUGUUGGAUGGACCCUAAGUGUCCCAUUUCCUAUGAUUCACACUUGUUGAUAGGCAGGAAGACUGAGUCUUUGCAGAGUGUCUUAGAAGCAUAGAGGAAAAAUUUCUCAAAGUCCAUGGCCUUGAUCAUGCCUAUAUUUGAGGUUCAUUUGAUCAUGUCAUAAGAUUUUCAAAAAAUCAAUCUCAAUGAAGAGGGUGUUGAAAUCAAGGAAACAUUUGAGGGAAUUCCAUAAUGUUUUCCCAUUCAAGCAAUAUCACAGACAAUCUUCCAUCCAAAUUCAAUAAAUUUGAAACCCAUUUUUGAGAUUUGUGCCUCAUUCUAUAACUGAAGGCAAUGUUAGGAAAUCAGGAGACAUCGUCGAGGGCCCCGGGAAGACUUAUCUUUUCUUUUUAACAACUUUCCCACCUAGAAAUCGGCUCAACCGGAGAUAGGGUCUAGCAGCUGGAAGAGCAUCGCAUGCCUUGCAGUGUCUGGUGCACCCUUGGUGGCCCUUAAAAAUCUAGAGGACCGAGUAUCAUCCAUGCCUGGUCAUACUCAUAAUUGCAUCAGGUCUCCAAGGUGAACAACCUCUGGUCAAUAGAACAAUGUAGGUAAGGGAAUUCUGCAAAAUGGAUCUGUAACUUCGGGAAAAGGAUUGGCUCUGAGGGUUGGGGUUAGGGGUCUGCAUCCUCAACCCGUGGGCUUUUGACGGUCUUCCUGUGCGAUUGUCAUUAAUUAAUGCUACCUCCUUUUGAAUGGUAGUAAAACUAAUUAAUGUUACCUCCUUUUGAAUGGUAGAGAACCACCUAUCAUUCAUGAUCCAACACAUAGUAGUCAAGAAUCCCAUCCAUUGCUAAUUGUUGGGCUCUAAAUAUGUCUUAAAAAAAACCUUAGUUUAACAUUAAUUUAUCAACUUGAGGAUUUGUCUUCUAUUUCAAGAAUAUCAGCAAAGUCUAUGCAGAUAGCUCGUAAAGGCUAAAAUCACGUAUCAAAUCUGAGUUUAUCAACAAUCAA
rnacentral:ncRNA from 1 species